rnacentral:rRNA from 1 species
CAUGCAAGUCGAACGGCAGCACAGAAGAGCUUGCUCUUUGGGUGGCGAGUGGCGGACGGGUGAGUAAUGUCUGGGAAACUGCCCGAUGGAGGGGGAUAACUACUGGAAACGGUAGCUAAUACCGCAUAACGUCGCAAGACCAAAGUGGGGGACCUUCGGGCCUCACACCAUCGGAUGUGCCCAGAUGGGAUUAGCUAGUAGGUGGGGUAAUGGCUCACCUAGGCGACGAUCCCUAGCUGGUCUGAGAGGAUGACCAGCCACACUGGAACUGAGACACGGUCCAGACUCCUACGGGAGGCAGCAGUGGGGAAUAUUGCACAAUGGGCGCAAGCCUGAUGCAGCCAUGCCGCGUGUAUGAAGAAGGCCUUCGGGUUGUAAAGUACUUUCAGCGGGGAGGAAGGCGGUGAGGUUAAUAACCUUGCCGAU